rnacentral:rRNA from 1 species
UACGUAGGGGGCAAGCGUUGUCCGGAUUUGUUGGGCGUAAAGAGCGUGUAGGCGGCCAUGCAGGUCCGCUGUGAAAACUCGAGGCUCAACCUCGAGAGGUCGGUGGAAACCGCAUGGCUAGAGUCCGGAAGAGGAGAGUGGAAUUCCCGGUGUAGCGGUGAAAUGCGCAGAUAUCGGGAAGAACACCCGUGGCGAAGGCGGCUCUCUGGGACGGUACUGACGCUGAGACGCGAAAGCGUGGGGAGCGAACAGG